ACGCUGGCGGCACGCUUAACACAUGCAAGUCGAACGAAAUCUUCGGAUUUAGUGGCAGACGGGUGAGUAACGCGUGGGAACCUGCCCAGUAGUAGAGAAUAACUUGGGGAAACUUAAGCUAAUACUUUAUACGUCCUUUGGGAGAAAGCUUUAUGCGCUAUUGGAUGGGCCCGCGUUAGAUUAGUUUGUUGGUGAGGUAAUGGCUCACCAAGGCGACGAUCUAUAGCUGGUCUGAGAGGAUGAUCAGCCACACUGGGACUGAGACACGGCCCAGACUCCUACGGGAGGCAGCAGUGGGGAAUAUUGGACAAUGGGGGCAACCCUGAUCCAGCGAUGCCGCGUGAGUGAUGAAGGCCCUAGGGUUGUAAAACUCUUUCGUCAGGGAAGAUAAUGACGGUACCUGAAGAAGAAGAUCCGGCUAACUCCGUGCCAGCAGCCGCGGUAAUACGGAGGGGUCUAGCGUUAUUCGGAAUUACUGGGCGUAAAGCGAGCGUAGGCGGAUUUGUAAGUUGGAGGUGAAAUCCCAGAGCUUAACUCUGGAACUGCCUUCAAAACUACAUUUCUUGAGUUUGGUAGAGGAGAGUGGAAUUCCUAGUGUAGAGGUGAAAUUCGUAGAUAUUAGGAGGAACACCAGUGGCGAAGGCGACUCUCUGGGCCAAUACUGACGCUGAGGUUCGAAAGCAUGGGUAGCGAACAGGAUUAGAUACCCUGGUAGUCCAUGCAGUAAACGAUGAGUGCUAGAUGUUGGGAAUUUAGAUUUCCAGUAUCGCAGUUAACGCGUUAAGCACUCCGCCU
rnacentral:rRNA from 1 species